rnacentral:tRNA from 1 species
GGGUGGCGUCCUGCGGAGCGGGGCGCACUCGAAAUGCGCCGGGAGCAAUCCCUUGGGGGUUCGAGUCCCUCCGCCUCCG